AAGGACUUAGUGGCGAACGGGUGAGUAACACGUAGGUAACCUGCCCAUGUACCCGGGAUAACAAAGGGAAACGUUUGCUAAAACCGGAUGAAUAAAUAGGAGGCAUCUUCUAAUUAUAAAAGCACCUAUGGGUGUGGACAUGGAUGGACCUGCGGCGUAUUAGCCAGUUGGCGGGGUAACGGCCCACCAAAGCGAUGAUACGUAGCCGGCCUGAGAGGGUAAACGGCCACACUGGGACUGAGACACGGCCCAGACUCCUACGGAAGGCAGCAG
rnacentral:rRNA from 1 species